GACGAACGCUGGCGGCGUGCCUAAUACAUGCAAGUAGAACGCUGAAGGAGGAGCUUGCUUCUCUGGAUGAGUUGCGAACGGGUGAGUAACGCGUAGGUAACCUGCCUGGUAGCGGGGGAUAACUAUUGGAAACGAUAGCUAAUACCGCAUAAUAGUAGAUGUUGCAUGACAUUUGCUUAAAAGGUGCAAUUGCAUCACUACCAGAUGGACCUGCGUUGUAUUAGCUAGUUGGUGAGGUAACGGCUCACCAAGGCAACGAUACAUAGCCGACCUGAGAGGGUGAUCGGCCACACUGGGACUGAGACACGGCCCAGACUCCUACGGGAGGCAGCAGUAGGGAAUCUUCGGCAAUGGACGGAAGUCUGACCGAGCAACGCCGCGUGAGUGAAGAAGGUUUUCGGAUCGUAAAGCUCUGUUGUAAGAGAAGAACGAGUGUGAGAGUGGAAAGUUCACACUGUGACGGUAUCUUACCAGAAAGGGACGGGUAACUACGUG
rnacentral:rRNA from 1 species